GGGGGCGGGGACUUGAACAUUCCAGGCUCUGUGAACUAAGUGACUGAAGCUGAUUGACACAGGUCAAGGGGACUUCAAGGAAGAAAGCCAGCCUUAGACUGACAUCAGAGAACCAAACUCCGGUGUCUAAGCUCAAGUUCCUGCCUUGACUUCUCUACAAUAAUGGACUGUAACCGAGAAUGGAAAGCCAAAGAAAGUCCUUCCUCUUCUAAGCUGCUCUUGGUCGUGGUGUUUCAUCACAACAACAGAAGAGAACCUAGGACAAUCACCUUACCUGUGAGAGCGAGGAGCCUAUGCAGGUGUGAAGACCUGCUCUGAUCAUUUGAAGUAAUACAAGUAAUUGGGAAGACACUGGCUCAGAGCCUGUCUCUGGUGACCACUGAAUUGUCCAGCACCUGAGGUCCCUGGAGCCCACGGACUGAGCCCAUCUGGGCUAAAAGAGGUCCCAUACAUCCUUCUCAAAGGCCUAUAUAAAUGCCAAGCAGAGUUAUAGCAGGAGGUUAGAAUCCUGAGAACUGUUUGGAAUAAGGAAUCCAAAUAUUGUCUUCCAGCUUCACCUUGUCACGACAGUCCUCGCCAGGGACAGCUGAGCCUUGCGUGGAUGAAACAGUCCCAACGAACACUUUAAAAAGACAAAUGUUCCCGACAGCACUGGUUGAAUUCAAAACUCGGCAGAUCCAUGUUCUUAUCCUUAGACAAGAGAGGGGCCAUAACAAGAUGGAAUGACGGAACAGACGUGAGAGAUGAUGGUACAGUGACUCGGGUAACCCCAGAAAAGGGACAGCUCUUCUACAGCUCAGUGGGGACAGGGACAAAAAGAAACAAUUUCAUUUCAGUCCACCCAGAGGGUCUGCACUUCUCGGAGCCAGAAGGUGGAGAAGAGUAGGGAUGGAGGAAGUUCGAAGUUUUAGGAGUCUGCUCUUGGGUCCCUAGGCAUGAGGACAAGCUUUUCCUGUACUCAAUGCUCAUCUCUCAGUUGUGCCCACAUUGGUACACAUUACUUGCUUUCAACUGCUGCUGCUGCUGUUUCCUAAUUCAAUAAAGAUAUGGCUGGCUCAGCAGAGAGCUGUCAUCC
rnacentral:lncRNA from 1 species